GUGAGUAACGCGUAGGUAAUCUACCUUUUAGUGGGGAAUAACACUUGGAAACGAGUGCUAAUACCGCAUACGUUAAACAGCUUGAUGCUGUUUAAGAAAGACACUAGUGGUCGCUGAAAGAUGAGCCUGCGUCCCAUUAGCUAGUUGGUAAGGUAAAAGCUUACCAAGGCUACGAUGGGUAGCUGGUCUGAGAGGAUGAUCAGCCACACUGGAACUGACACACGGUCCAGACUCC
rnacentral:rRNA from 1 species